rnacentral:lncRNA from 1 species
CCAGUGUAUUUAAUGAAAUGGACAAUUAUUGAAGAUGGCAUAAAUUUCAAAAAUUGGAUACACAAGAAGUAGAAAACUUGAAUAUACCAGUAACCACAAAAGAAACUGACAUGGUUGUCAAAGGAAUACCCACCCAAAAGGUGCAUGACCCAAAUGUUUUACAAUGAGUUCUCCCAAGUCGUCAAGGAACAAGUAAUUCCCAUCCUAGCCAACCCUUUCCAGAGCACAGCAUCAAAUGGAAAGCUGUGUGACUCAUUUUAUAAGCCUUGCUUAACUCUGAUACCAGUGAGGACAAGGACGGCCCAGAAAAGAAAAACACAGGCCGGAUCCCGUAUAGGAACAGAGAAGAAUCGAUCAUUCACUCAAUAAAUUGCCAUUUCCUGGAGGACAGGGAAGGUAUAUUAUUUAGCUUUUCAUCCUCCGCAUCUAGCAUGAUGUCUGGCACACAGCAGAUAUUCAAGACACGUUCGUGGAGCUGAAAAAAACCAAACAAAUUAACCAUUAAUAUAAGAAAACUGAAUUGUCUCAGAGACUUCAGCUGGGAUUCCUAAAAAGCUAACAGCAUUAUAAGGUGGUUCUGCUGGAAAGCAAUAUAGCGACAUGUAACAAAAACUAUGAAAAUGUUCAUUCUCCUUCACUAGGUCUUUUCCCAUUUGUGAAUGCUCUCCAAAGAAAUAAUCCAAAGGGGUGAAAUGUACACAGAUGUUCCCGGCAACUCUAGUUAUAAUAGUGAAAAGAACUGGAAGCAAUCCAAGUGUCUAAUAGGGAAAUGACUAAGCAAACAAUGGGAUUAUUAUAUUGCUAUUAAAAAUGACGGAGGUGAGGACUGUGUCAACAUAGAGAAGUGUGUAUCUGCAGGAACGUUAAGUGGAAAAAAGAACACAAACCAGUGUUUAAACACCAGUGGUUAAAGAUGUGUGUGUACAUUAACAGAGAUCAGAGGCCACUUUGGAGAAAUGAAAAUGGCCGGGGUUCAGUGUUCACUGGGUCUUUUUUUCCUAUGCAGUUCCAUGAGCUUAUGACAAUAAUAGGCGAGAUGUCAUGCAACAUAGAUAUCCUGAAAGUCAUCUGCAGAAUAAGGCCUCUGUUACCUACUCAGUUGUGUAAUCCAAGAGAUAAUUUAAUGUUCAACUCGCAUCUAAUUAUUAUGAAAAUAACAACAUUUCUUUAAGAGGACAAAAUGCUUUUCUUUAGUUUAAUUCACCAAGCAAUUUUGAGAGCUUAACUAUGUGUUAGAGCA